GCUGGCGGCGUGCCUAAUACAUGCAAGUCGAGCGGAUUGAUCCCUUCGGGGAUGAGUCAGCGGCGGACGGGUGAGUAACACGUAGGCAACCUGCCUGAAGGAUCGGGAUAACGAUCGGAAACGAUAGCUAAGACCGAAUAAUUGGCCGCAUCGCAUGAAUCGGCCAUGAAACACGGAGCAAUCUGUGGCCUUUGGAUGGGCCUGCGGCGCAUUAGCUAGUAGGUGAGGUAACGGCCCACCUAGGCGACGAUGCGUAGCCGACCUGAGAGGGUGAACGGCCACACUGGGACUGAGACACGGCCCAGACUCCUACGGGAGGCAGCAGUAGGGAAUCUUCCGCAAUGGACGCAAGUCUGACGGAGCAACGCCGCGUGAGUGAUGAAGGUUUUCGGAUCGUAAAGCUCUGUUGCCCUAGACGAACGAGUCAGAGAGUCACUGCUCUGGCUGUGACGGUAUAGGAGAAGAAAGCCCCGGCUAACUACGUGCCAGCAGCCGCGGUAAUACGUAGGGGGCAAGCGUUGUCCGGAAUUAUUGGGCGUAAAGCGCGCGCAGGCGGUUCAGUAAGUUGGAUGUUUAAAGCCGGGGCUCAACCCCGGUGCGCAUCCAAAACUGGUGGACUUGAGUG
rnacentral:rRNA from 1 species